rnacentral:rRNA from 1 species
UACGUAGGGUGCAGGCGUUAAUCGGAAUUACUGGGCGUAAAGCGUGCGCAGGCGGUUUGCUAAGAGAGAUGUGAAAUCCCCGGGCUUAACCUGGGAACUGCGUUUCUAACUGGCAGGCUAGAGUGUGGCAGAGGGGGGUGGAAUUCCACGUGUAGCAGUGAAAUGCGUAGAGAUGUGGAGGAACACCGAUGGCGAAGGCAGCCCCCUGGGCUAACACUGACGCUCAUGCACGAAAGCGUGGGGAGCAAACAGG